rnacentral:rRNA from 1 species
UACAGAGGGUGCAAGCGUUGUUCGGAAUUACUGGGCGUAAAGCGCGUGUAGGCGGUCCUUCAAGUCGGACGUGAAAUCCCUGGGCUUAACCCAGGAACUGCGUUCGAAACUGCUGGACUAGAGUAUCGGAGGGGAUGGUGGAAUUCCUGGUGUAGAGGUGAAAUUCGUAGAUAUCAGGAGGAACACCUGUGGCGAAGGCGACCAUCUGGAAGAUUACUGACGCUGAGACGCGAAAGCGUGGGGAGCAAACAGGAUUAGAAACCCGAGUAGU